UACACAGAGAAAGACUGGCUGGACACUGUGAGGCCACCAUCCCUCUCUGAGGCUGAGGUUUAACACACAGAGAAAGACUGGCUGGACACUGUGAGGCCACCAUCCCUCUCUGAGGCUGAGGUUUAAUACACAGAGAAAGACUGGCUGGACACUGUGAGACCACCAUCCCUCUCUGAGGCUGAGGUUUAAUACACAGAGAAAGACUGGCUGGACACUGUGAGGCCACCAUCCCUCUCUGAGGCUGAGGUUUAAUACACAGAGAAAGACUGGCUGGACACUGUGAGGCCACCAUCCCUCUCUGAGGCUGAGGUUUAAUACACAGAGAAAGACUGGCUGGACACUGUGAGGCCAGGCUGAGGUUUAAUACACAGAGAAAGACUGGCUGGACACUGUGAGGCCACCAUCCCUCUCUGAGGCUGAGGUUUAAUACACAGAGAAAGACUGGCUGGACACUGUGAGGCCACCAUCCCUCUCUGAGGCUGAGGUUUAAUACACAGAGAAAGACUGGCUGGACACUGUGAGGCCACCAUCCCUCUCUGAGGCUGAGGUUUAAUACACAGAGAAAGACUGGCUGGACACUGUGAGGCCAGGCUGAGGUUUAAUACACAGAGAAAGACUGGCUGGACACUGUGAGACCACCAUCCCUCUCUGAGGCUGAGGUUUAAUACACAGAGAAAGACUGGCUGGACACUGUGAGGCCACCAUCCCUCUCUGAGGCUGAGGUUUAAUACACAGAGAAAGACUGGCUGGACACUGUGAGACCACCAUCCCUCUCUGAGGCUGAGGUUUAAUACACAGAGAAAGACUGGCUGGACACUGUGAGGCCACCAUCCCUCUCUGAGGCUGAGGUUUAAUACACAGAGAAAGACUGGCUGGACACUGUGAGGCCACCAUCCCUCUCUGAGGCUGAGGUUUAAUACACAGAGAAAGACUGGCUGGACACUGUGAGACCACCAUCCCUCUCUGAGGCUGAGGUUUAAUACACAGAGAAAGACUGGCUGGACACUGUGAGACCACCAUCCCUCUCUGAGGCUGAGGUUUAAUACACAGAGAAAGACUGGCUGGACAAAAAUGCUGAUUCUUAAUGGGAUUUAAAAAGGCUGAACAAUGAUCAUCAAAUACAAACUGAUGAAUGAUUUGAACCAGAUUAUAAAACAUCAUUAUAAAAACACGAAUGUCAGAUUAUAAAACAUGUCUGUAACACUAAACGGGUGGAAAAGCUGAACAUUUAUAAUAAAAACUAAUCCCAAAACGUGAUCAUUUAUCAAGUCCAUUUACAAAGCAACACAAUGUG